CGGCGGGGCCGCGCCGAGCGGUACUGAGGCGACAAAAUGGCGGCGGGCGGAGAGCGCGGGAAGGGCCCGCGGCGCCCUGAGGGCCGCUCGUUCCCUUCCCGUCCCCCUCACCGUCCCAUUUUGAAGUGUUUUUUUCCCCUCACAGCGUGAAGAUUUUGGGGUCAACGCUGCUCUUUCCUCCCCCUCCACACGCGCCCUCCCAGGUCACCAUGACUUCAAUGUGCACAGUCCAAGCAGUCACUUGUGAGCAAGGAGAGCAGGUAUUGGCACCUCCUCAUUAGCCUUCAUCAAUGAGAAUAUUGGCUAUGGUGUUGCGUGAGUGCCACUGGCUGACCAAUGGAGGGGCCCUGCCCUCCUAAGCUGGAGCAACACUUUCUGAGUGGUGAUUUCAUUGCCUGGUUGCUGCAGUGAUUUGGAGCACAGCUGUGACGUUAUGCUUUUUCUGGCAAAAAUUUAGCUGAGGGGCCACUGUACCCUGUGGGAAUUGUACUACUUUUCUGUGGCAGUUUGGGAUAACUGAGGGCUCCCUUGGGAGUGUUGGACUUCUACCGCCACACGCUUUGGAUUGAAGAGUUACCAGAACGACAUCUGUGAGGUUUCCAAGCUAAACAAAACCUGAAUUUCUGGUGCAAAAAGCAAGUGAAUGAUAGAAACCUCUGCUCCUCUUCCAGCGGGGGGACACUGCAGCCUUUUAAGCUUUCCUAUUAUGCCAAAGAGGUAAAAAAGCAUAAGCGUGCAUUGUGUUAUGCAGUGCUAUUGGUGAUAUAAAAUGAAAGCCAAAGCUAGCCAAGAAACUGUUCUCCUUUCAAAUACAUCUCCACGCACAAGUACUUUUCUUCUUUGCCUUUCCCUGAAGUGAGAGAGCAAUAAGGGCACAAGCGUGCGCUCAGUCUGCUUCAUUUAGAACACAGUGAAGUGACUUCGGUGCCAACAUGAUGAAUCAAAAGCAUUGAAGAUAGCUGGCUUGCUAUUUAUUUUGCUCUGGGCAUGACAAUCAGAUGUGAUUGGGGAUGUGAAGAAGAACAGCCUUCAACUCACGGAGUUGCACUGUUUUAAACCCUUGUCCUGUGACUUCUCCAGCGUGAUUUCUGUCAUUCCUGCUGGGCAUUGCACGUGGGCCUUUUCAUGGAGAGGUAACGCACUGCAGCUGUGUGUUAAACAUGGCAACAUACAGGAUACAGUGAUCUCUCCACUCCCAGGAGCCUGGAAGACUGAAGCCCUCUGCCUAGAGGAUGAAAUGCUUCAUGUUUGGAAAAAAAAACUAGCAGGUACAGCACUUCAGGAUGUGAUUGCAGAGAUGUUUGGGGGCAAAAGGAACCAGGGCAGAAGCUGGCGCUGUAAUGUUCCUAUUUUUUUUUCCACAGUGGGUGAAAAAUUAGGUAUUAAUUCCAAAAAAUUCUACUAUGCAGUAAGCAAGAGUGAGUUCUUUUGCAGUCCUCUGGCUGUACAUGGUGUUUUGCUUGCAUGGCUUAGCAAUUGCUCCGUGCUCUGCUGUUGAAGAAACAUCUAUUUUUGGGUAGCAACGUAUUUUGAAAACGGA
rnacentral:lncRNA from 1 species